GGAGGCGUCGCAUAGCGGCCUAGUGCAACGGCUUGGAAAGCCGUGACCCUUCGGGGUCUCGUGAGUUCGAAUCUCACCGCCUCCGCCA
rnacentral:tRNA from 1 species